rnacentral:pre_miRNA from 1 species
GAGCAAAUACCUUUAAACUCUAAUAUGUGUAGACAUAUUAGAGUUUAAAGGUAUUUGCUCA